UUUCGCAAUGCCCGAAAGGGUGACGAAGCGACGCCGCGUGGGUGAGGAAGGCCUUCGGGUUGUAAAGCCCUGUCAGGAGUUAAGAAAUGUAAGUGCGCUAAUAUCGCAUUUAUUUGACGAAGGCUCCAAAGGAAGUCACGGCUAACUCUGUGCCAGCAGCCGCGGUAAUACAGAGGUGGCAAGCGUUGUUCGGAAUUAUUGGGCGUAAAGAGCACGUAGGUGGGUUUGUAAGUCAGAUGUGAAAGCCUCCUGUUCAACGGAAGAAUUGCAUCUGAAACUGCGAGUCUUGAGUGUAGGAGGGGAGAAUGGAACUUCUGGUGGAGCGGUGAAAUGCGUAGAUAUCAGAAGGAACGCCGGCGGCGAAAGCGAUUCUCUGGCCUAUUACUGACACUCAGUGUGCGAAAGCUAGGGGAGCAAACGGGAUUAGAUACCCCGGUAGUCCUAGCCGUAAACGAUGGGCACUAAGUAGAGGGGUUUUA
rnacentral:rRNA from 1 species